GGGGUACACAAGGGUAUGUGUGUUACUAGAUAUCCUUAAACAUGUUUGCUUGAGAACCAGGGUGCGGGUGCAUGACUCUUUAUUGUGGCAACAAUUUAUGAAGAACUACUUAAGAUUUGUUAUGACUGUGGAUGUAUUAGGUUGACUAUGGAGUCUUGUGCUUGCUCUACUGGCCACAGUGCUAACUGGAAGCCAAUUCUAAGCCCUUGGAUAAGAGCUGCU
rnacentral:lncRNA from 1 species